ACUAGGAUUAGAUACCCUAUUAUUUAAAUUUAAAAUUAUAAUACUAAAAUAGUAAUUAAUUAUUUAUUGAAACUUAAAUAAUUUGGCGGUAUUUUAGUUCAUUUAGAGGAAUCUGUUUAAUAAUUGAUAUUCCACGAAUAAAUUUACUUAAUUUAUUAAUUUUGUAUAUCGUUGUUAUAAAAAUAUUUUUUAAUAAAAUUAAUAUUUAAAAAUUAUUAUAUAAAUUUAAAUCAGAUCAAGAUGCAGAUUAUAAUUAAGAAUAUAAUGGAUUACAAUGAAAUUAUUUAUAUGGAUAUAAGUUUGUAAAAAUAAAUUGAAAGUGGAUUUAAAUGUAAUUUUAUUUAAUUUGAUAAUAUGAUUAAAAAUUAAAAUAUGUACACAUCGC
rnacentral:rRNA from 1 species